rnacentral:rRNA from 1 species
GACGUAGGGCGCGAGCGUUGUCCGGAUUUAUUGGGCGUAAAGAGCUCGUAGGCGGCUUGUCGCGUCGACUGUGAAAUCCCGCGGCUCAACCGCGGGUCUGCAGUCGAUACGGGCAGGCUAGAGUUCGGUAGGGGAGACUGGAAUUCCUGGUGUAGCGGUGAAAUGUGCAGAUAUCAGGAGGAACACCGAUGGCGAAGGCAGGUCUCUGGGCCGAUACUGACGUGAGGAGCGAAAGCGUGGGGAGCGAACAGG